rnacentral:rRNA from 1 species
AUACGAAGGGUGCUAGCGUUGUUCGGAAUUACUGGGCGUAAAGAGCAUGUAGGCGGAUAGAUUAGUCAGAGGCGAAAGCCCCGAGCUCAACUCGGGAACUGCCUUUGAUACUGUUUAUCUAGAGACCGAGAGAGGUGAGUGGAAUUCUCAGUGUAGAGGUGAAAUUCGUAGAUAUUGGGAAGAACACCAGUGGCGAAGGCGGCUCACUGGCUCGGAACUGACGCUGAGAUGCGAAAGCGUGGGGAGCGAACAGGAUUAGAAACCCCAGUAGUCC